rnacentral:rRNA from 1 species
CCUACGGGAGGCAGCAGUCGAGAAUUAUUCACAAUGGGGGAAACCCUGAUGGUGCGACGCCGCGUGGGGGAAUGAAGGUCUUCGGAUUGUAAACCCCUGUCAUGUGGGAGCAAAUUAAAAAGAUAGUACCACAAGAGGAAGAGACGGCUAACUCUGUGCCAGCAGCCGCGGUAAUACAGAGGUCUCAAGCGUUGUUCGGAAUCACUGGGCGUAAAGCGUGCGUAGGCUGUUUCGUAAGUCGUGUGUAAAAGGCGCGGGCUCAACCCGCGGACGGCACAUGAUACUGCGAGACUAGAGUAAGGGAGGGGGAACCGGAAUUCUCGGUGUAGCAGUGAAAUGCGUAGAUAUCGAGAGGAACACUCGUGGCGAAGGCGGGUUCCUGGACAUUAACUGACGCUGAGGCACGAAGGCCAGGGGAGCGAAAGGGAUUAGAUACCCCUGUAGUC